UACGUAGGGUGCAAGCGUUAAUCGGAAUUACUGGGCGUAAAGCGUGCGCAGGCGGUUUUGUAAGUCUGUCGUGAAAUCCCCAGGCUCAACCUGGGAAUGGCAAUGGAGACUGCAAGGCUAGAGUUUGGCAGAGGGGGGUAGAAUUCCACGUGUAGCAGUGAAAUGCGUAGAUAUGUGGAGGAACACCGAUGGCGAAGUCAGCCCCCUGGGUCAAAACUGACGCUCAUGCACGAAAGCGUGGGGAGCAAACAGG
rnacentral:rRNA from 1 species